AAGCGGUAGUAUAUGCAAGUGCCUGGGGAAAUGAAACAGGGUACUAUGAAAUAGUGCCAGAAGGGAAUGGACUAUGGUGAAUACCUGGAGAGGGAUGGAAACAAAUAAUAGGAGCCCAAUGAAAAUUGGGCACCUUAAUUAAGAAAACUUGGGUAAUGUAACAAUAGAACAAUCAACCAGAUGUGUAAUAAUUAUAAAAAAAAUGCACUUGCUCGAAAAUAUAAAAUUAUUGAAAAAGCUGUAGAGAAUAUAAGAUCUAAAAUGUGUUCCUAGUAUGAUGUUAUAUGUCAAAUAACAGAAUGGAAUGGAAUUAAAUGGGCAAUGGACACAGCAAAGAACACCAUGUGACUAAAAUAGUGGGAGUCACUUUCCUGAAUGGGUGUUAAGAGAGACAAUUAUUAAGAUUGGGCCCCUAAUGAAGAGGAACUCCGUUAGUCUGGAGUUCCUUGUGAAAGUGCUGAAGAGGAUUGGUCACAGCCCUUGAAAGGAACCCUGUGCCAAAGCAUAUUAUGUAAUGUCAAAAAUGCUUCUCUGGAUCUCAGGCUCCAUUUAAUAAAACAAAAGAUUUAAUUCAAAAUGUAUUGGACACCGCAGAGAUUGCCCAAGAUAAAGGCCUUACCCUCUGAUGUUAGUUGGCCCUAUAACAAAGAAAAAGGAACCCAGGUGCAGGUGCUGUGGGACUGUCCAGUAUCCGGUAGCUGUGGAUAGAAAAUAAUGCUUGGCUUUAUCAGUCAAACCUCAGCUGAAAAUUGCAUCCAAAGAUAUUUACCUGCCAAGCUGGUUUAACUGCGUCACAAAAGCUUUGGUUCUUAAAGGCUCCAAUGAUUAUCAAGUGCAUACGUUUUACAAAAAUGGUUGGUCAGGCUUAUGCCCAUAACAGAGCAGUGGCAUGAGGACAUGGCUGAGUAAGAGCCAAAGAAAGAAUAGGAUAUUGCUACUGUUAGUAUAUAGGCUUGUUUGUCAGCCUAAGAUAGAAUUUUGGGUUUGACUUUUUGAUACUCUUGUAUCUUAUCCUAGCGUUAAUUGAAAUUAACCCGAAUAAGUAUAGCAUUGCCUGCACUUCAGACUUCUGGUCUUCUGUUUUUUGUCUGAAUGACAAGAACCAGGGAAUGCGGGGGGAAGGGAAAGUCCUCCAACAGCCACAGAGAUCAAUUAUAUGAAGUCGAAGAAAUUUGGACCCUGUUUCUAGAUACAUGUGGAUUAAAAAUGUUCAGAUAAUUCAAAUAAUGCCAUGCUUCCAUUCAACCUUACCCCUCUGCUUUUUUACUCACCCCCAAUGCCGUUCCUCUCUCUAUUCAUGUAUACCUUCUCUUAUUGUAUUACUGUUACUCACACCCUAACAUGUUAUGUCUAUGUAGCAUUGCCUGGAUUUGUUGUGUUUGGUGUUGCAACUUUAACAAGUUGUAAAAUUGUGUAAUUGCAUAAUUUUAUUGGCGAUCCUGUGAAGCAUGCCAUAUUUGGAAACACACACAGCUGUAAAUCAUUUACCUUUUUGAAUCUUUCAUUGUCUACUUCUUUACAAAAAUCAGUCUCACACACACAAGAUUUGACCCCAGUCGUUUCUUGGUUCUCUGAACAACAAAUUUUAACAAUUUUUAAAAUAAAAUUACUUGGUUCCCAACAUCUUAAAAAACCCCUUUCUACCCACUAUGGCCUUGCCUCCCUUCUCCGUCCUUAUCUGAGACAUUAUCUCUCCCCUUCCAUGCUCCUCCCUGUCUCCUCUCCUCCUGGCUCUCCUUACAAUCCAGCAUUCCGUUGUAGAUGUGGAGAUGGCACAUGAUCACAUGUCUAAUUUGGAUCAAUAAGACAGACACCUUCCUGUUCAAAAGCAGAGCUAAAUUUUAAUGAUGUUUAAUGGGCAGGUGCUGGAGUUGGGGGUUGGGCAGGGACGGGUGCUUGUUUAGUCGCAGCAGAAGAACUUCACAUCAUUGAGUGUUGUAUCAUCGUCCAGGCCCUG